AACGUAGGAGACAAACGUUAUCCGGAGUUACUGGGCGUAAAGGGCGUGUAGGUGGUAGUGUAAGUCUGGCGUGAAAUUUUUCGGCUUAACCGGGAAAGGUCGUCGGAUACUGCACAACUAGAGGACGGUAGAGGCGUGUGGAAUUCCGGGUGUAGUGGUGAAAUGCGUAGAGAUCCGGAGGAACACCAGUGGCGAAGGCGACACGCUGGGCCAACACUGACGCUGAGGAGCGAAAGCCAGGGGAGCAAACGGG
rnacentral:rRNA from 1 species